GGGAGCAUUCAUACAAGCACUAAUGCAACAGAUCCAAUUAUAACUCCACAAUUAAGCGUUCUUGGGUAAGAACAAUACUAGGAUGGUGGACCUCUUAGGAAAUCCUCGUGUGUCUCCCA
rnacentral:rRNA from 1 species